rnacentral:rRNA from 1 species
AACGAACGCUGGCGGCGUGCCUAACACAUGCAAGUCGAGCGCGAAAAGGGCAACCUGAGUAGAGCGGCGCACGGGUGCGUAACACGUGGGUAAUCUGCCUACAAAGUUUGGGAUAACCUUCCGAAAGGUUGGCUAAUACCGGAUAAGCUCGCGGGAUCUUCGGAUUCUGCGGGAAAAGGUGGCCUCUGUUUACAAGCCAUCACUUUGAGAUGAGCCCGCGGCCCAUCAGCAGUUGGCGGGGUAACGGCCCACCAAGGCUACGAC